rnacentral:rRNA from 1 species
UACGUAGGGGGCAAGCGUUGUCCGGAUUUAUUGGGCGUAAAGAGCGUGUAGGCGGUUCGGUAAGUCUGCUGUGAAAUCCUGGGGCUCAACCCCGGGCGUGCAGCGGAUACUGCCGGGCUAGAGGGUGGUAGAGGCGAGUGGAAUUCCGAGUGUAGCGGUGAAAUGCGCAGAUAUUAGGAAGAACACCGGUGGCGAAGGCGGCUCUCUGGAACGGUACUGACGCUGAGACGCGAAAGCGUGGGGAGCGAACAGG